UUCCAACUUCGUAGCCAAAAAUACCGAGAGCACCUUUAAAAGUUGCCUGAAACUCAGGCCAAAACAAUUACGGUCUGUGGUGGAAGGUGGCUUUUGGUGGGUGGUUGAUGGCAGAUGGGUGGCUGGAUGGUUCGGUGGUUGCCACUCACUCACAAAAGAACAGCAUCCGACUGACGGCAGAAGCAUCACAGCAUCACUGGAGUGAAAUAAUCGCAUAUCGUAAACUUUGACUUCGAGCUAAUGAAGAAUUGCGGAGCCCAGAAAAGCUGCAAUUGAGUUAAUUAGUCGAGCAGGGAACUUCAUGCGAAUGGAAAGUGUCAUGACGCUCACACAGUGGAGCCUCCAAGGGGGAAGGGGAGCUUGUUUCAAGGUAGUUGUAGUACAGAUGUAAGUUACCUGCUUUCCUUCAGCCCAACUUUUUGCAUCGUCCUACGAAUGGAGUUACUCAAUUGCUAAUGAAAAGUUUGCAGAUCUUAAGUAAGAAAUGAACCUAAAUUUAUAAAUUUUUUAGUUGGUUCCAACUUGUAAAUUGCAGCACUUAUACAUUUUUAAUACUA